GCGCCCGUAGCUCAGCUGGAUAGAGCGUCUCCCUCCGAAGGAGAAGGUCACACGUUCAAAUCGUGUCGGGCGCACCA
rnacentral:tRNA from 1 species